UUCCUACGGGAGGCAGCAGUGGGGAAUAUUGCACAAUGGGCGAAAGCCUGAUGCAGCAACGCCGCGUGAGCGAUGAAGGCCUUCGGGUCGUAAAGCUCUGUCCUCAAGGAAGAUAAUGACGGUACUUGAGGAGGAAGCCACGGCUAACUACGUGCCAGCAGCCGCGGUAAUACGUAGGUGGCAAGCGUUGUCCGGAAUUACUGGGUGUAAAGGGAGCGCAGGCGGGAAGCCAAGUCAGCUGUGAAAACUACGGGCUUAACUUGUAGACUGCAGUUGAAACUGGUUUUCUUGAGUGAAGUAGAGGG
rnacentral:rRNA from 1 species